GCCUGGAUGGCUCAGUUGGUUAGGCCUCUGACUUCAGCUCAGGUCAUGAUCUCACAGUCUGUGGGUUCGAGCCCCACAUCGGGUU
rnacentral:tRNA from 1 species